UAAUAAUACACUUAUUUAAUUUAAUUAUUUUAUGUGUAAAAAGACUAUUUUAUUAGUCUCGGAUUUAAAUUUAUGAUGCGAGAAGUAUUAGUUAAAAUAUUAUAGUUUCGAGAAUGCUAGUAAACACGUGAGUUAUAUCGUGUGAGCCAGUUGUUUAAAUAUCAAUAUGUGCGUUAACCUGAGAACUGCGUUUAUACGAAAUAUAUGGUAGAUGCGAAUAACUGCUACGUUUUAGCCGGGAUGAUUAUUUUUGUUUUCAUUAUUUUAUUCGGGGUUUGAUUAUAAAAUAUUAAAAUAAUGAGUGAUUUAUUUAUUUAAUUAUUUUAUAUAAUAAUUAAUUAUAUUUUUCGCGUUUAUUACGAGAAAAAUAGGAAUCGAGCGGAGCAUAGCAUGACGGAACUUGAAGCCAAACUACAAGACUUGGGGCGCAAUUUUUAAGACUUGGUGCCCAAGUGUAAUUCGUGGUGGCCAAGUAAAAAUUUGAUUAAGCAAUAAACUAAAGAGGUCAUUAAGAGUUAAUUAAUAAUAAUAAUUUAAUGGUAAUUAGGAUUAUUGGAGCAGUAUAUAAACCAAGAUCUUGGGUUGUGAAAAGUUUUGUUUUAGCGAAGGAAUAAACUACGGAAGGGAAAGAAGCUCACCUAGAUUGAUUAUCUGGAAGACGAGCUUGAUUAUUCAACUUAAAUUGGAACGUGGUGCACUGGAAGAAUUUUGGAGAAGGACAUUCAAGCAAGGGUAAAAGUGUGAUGAAUCGAAGUGCUAGACUUGGUUGGAUUUGCGGGUAGAACUUGAGUAGAAAUAUUAUGUAAUCGAAAGAAAUAUUUGUGAACUUUUAGAAGAGUGAUGUAAGACUCUGAUGUAAGGUAACAUAUGCCUUUAAGUUAUAUCAAAUUUAAGAUUAUGAAGACAUUUCGGUGUGUUUAGUAGAAUGGCACCACCGGGUCGGGUUGCUGAGGUCAUCCCGGGCCGGGGGUGUCACAGGUGGUAUCAGAGCUAUAGGUUCGAUAAUCGGCAAAGAUAGGAUUAAGACUUUAAACUAGUGUGAUUUUAAGUUAGAAAAGAGGUCUAUGGGAUAUAUGAAUCUUAGUUGUGAAGGUGUGGUAUAAUAUAAGUGUUUGGUACUUACGAUAGUUGGAACCCUUGGAGAAAAAGGGACUGUAAAUCCCGUUGAGACCAAGAUAUGGAUAAAAGAAAUAAAGAAGAUUUUUGAAAUAUUUGGUGUAGAAGAUAACAAGAAAAUUAUCUUUGAUGCUUAUAUGCUUAAUGGAUAGGGUAAUUAUUGGUGGGAAGCCAAGCAAGUCCUAGAAGAGUCUAGUGUGAUAUCAUGCACUACGUUUAAAAAAUUAUUAGUGGAAAAGUAUUUUCCUAAAUACCUAGAGAAUUAAAUAGAGUUCAAAUUUCUAGAGCUUAAGCAAGAGAAUAAGUUGGGAAUGGAGUCAAUACCCUUAGAAGAAGCGAUGAAUAUAGAAAUAGCUGAUUAGGAAAUAAUUACAGUAGAUAAGUUUCUCCAAGUUGGGAGAUAACGGUUCAAAAGCAAAUUUUUGAGAUAAAUCUUAUUAUUUUUGGGAUGAACAACCCUAAUUAUAGGGGACACAAGGUAUACCUGUCUGUGUGAUAGGAGUUGGAUGGGACGCCAUCACUUGUGUGUGUUGUGAUUACAAGAAGGUUAACAACCUUUAGUAGUGUCUUAAUUUGGACACGCAACACUUAGUUCAUUUGAUCAUUUUGGUCUCCCAAUCAUCCUUUUAUUUCAAAUGAUAGCUAUUUUGAAAACUUAUUGACCGGUGAUUACCAUUGUGAAAGACUUCUAUAUAUCCAAGAAAGUUUUAAAAUUAUUAUUUCCUUUGAGUACUUUUCAAAAUGCUCAGAUUUCAAAUCCUUUGAUUUUGUUCUUUUCAAAAAUAUAGUUUGUUUGAGAAAUUGUUUAGAGAAGAUGUUGUAUGGUGAUGUCAGAUCCAGACUCCCGGAUUUGAAGGAUGUCACAUAGCUUAUCGAGAAUUAAAUAAGAUGCCCUUUACCUAGGGUUGAUGAUUUGUUUGACCAAUUGAAGGAAGCAUCUUACUUUUCUAAGAUGGACUUGAGAUCUGGAUACCAUUAAUUAAGGAUCAAACCUGAAAAUAUACCUAAGACGGCUUUUAGGACCCGUUGUAGAUCUUAUGAAUAAAGUAUUUAAGAAAUGCUUGGAUAAGUUCAUUAUUAUUUUUAUCAAUGAUAUUUUGAUUUAUUCUAAGACGAACGAAGAGCAAGUUGAGCAUCCUAGCAUAACCUUAGACAUUUUGAGAAAAGAAAAGUUAUAUACAAAGUUUCGAAAUGUGAGUUUUGGUUAUAGCAAGUGCAGUUUCAAGGGUACAUAGUUUCCAAGGGUGGAACGGUAGUAGGCCUUGUAAAGAUUGAGGCUGUAGGACCCAACAGAAGUGAAAAGUAUUCUUGGAUUAGCAGGAGAUUAUAGAAAAUUCCUAAAAGAUACCAUCGACCAAGUUGACUAGGAAAGGUAAGAAGUUGGAAUAGAAGCCUGAGUGCGAAGAAAGUUUUCAA